rnacentral:rRNA from 1 species
GACGAACGUUGGCGGUGUGCUUAACACAUGCAAGUCGAACGGAAAGGCCCUGCUUGCAGGGUACUCGAGUGGCGAACGGGUGAGUAACACGUGGGUGAUCUGCCCUGCACUUCGGGAUAAGCCUGGGAAACUGGGUCUAAUACCGGAUAGGAGCCAUUUCUAGCGUGCUGGGUGGAAAGUUUAUUCGGUGUAGGAUGAGCUCGCGGCCUAUCGGCUUGUUGGUGGGGUAAUGGCCUACCAAGGCGGCGACGGGUAGCCGGCCUGGGAGGGUGGACGGCCACACUUGGACUGAGAUUCGGCCCAGACUCCUACCGGAGGCAGAAGUGGGGAAGAUUGCACCAUGGGCGCAAGCCUGAUGCAGCGCCGCCGCCAGGGAGAUGACGGCCUUCGGGUUGUAAGCUCCUUUCGCUAGGGACGUGGCUUUUUAUGACGAUACCUAGAUAAGAAGCACCGGCUAACUACGUG